UACGUAGGGUGCGAGCGUUAAUCGGAAUACUGGGCGUAAAGCGUGCGCAGGCGGUUCGUUGUGUCGGCGGUGAAAGCCCCGGGCUCAACCUGGGAAUGGCCGUUGAAACUGGCGAACUGGAGUGUGGCAGAGGGGGGUGGAAUUCCGCGUGUAGCAGUGAAAUGCGUAGAGAUGCGGAGGAACACCGAUGGCGAAGGCAGCCCCCCUGGGCUAACACUGACGCUCAGGCACGAAAGCGUGGGGAGCAAACAGG
rnacentral:rRNA from 1 species